rnacentral:misc_RNA from 1 species
GAUGAAGAACGCAGCGAAAUGCGAUAAGUAGUGUGAAUUGCAGAAUUCAGUGAAUCAUCGAAUCUUUGAACGCACAUUGCGCCCCUUGGUAUCCCGAGGGGCAUGCCUGUUCGAGCGUCAUUUCACCACUCAAGCCUCGCUUGGUAUUGGGCAACGCGGUCCGCCGCGUGCCUCAAAUCGACCGGCUGGGUCUUCUGUCCCCUAAGCGUUGUGGAAACUAUUCGCUAAAGGGUGCUCGGGAGGCUACGCCGUAAAACAAACCCAUUUCUAAGGUUGACCUCGGAUCAGGUAGGGAUACCCGCUGAACUUAAGCAUAUCAAUAAGCGGAGGA